CCAAAACUUUAUAACCGUAUGUCUAUAUCCUUUUGCUUCCUUAUUCCUCUAUAAAAAAAUUGUUACAAAGAUACAUCAACAAAUAAACUUGGAAUUGAAACAUAAACUAAGCUGCAAAAAAUGGAAUAAACUACUAGGCAACAGUAGCAUGUAUGACCAAUUUGCAGGUCUAACUUCCUUGGCACAAGAUUUUUAAUUUAUGAUACACAACCCCCCUAUAAUGAUACAAUUUGGCAGAAUUCAUUCCGCAGCACGGCUUCCUUCUCGCAGUCGUUCCGUAGCACUGCCUCAUUCUCCAAGUCCAUCAUGGACUCAUCCAUGGACUCAUCAAUUUCCGGCCAGCAAUGUCUUCGGUACGAUGCAAAUCUGUUUCAGCAAUGGGUUGCCCAGACAGACUAUUUCAGUAUAAUAUGGAGAAAUUAAGUUAUACAGUAAUAUAGUUUCAUAUGACUUUAUAUUUAUGUACCCCUGAUUUUUCAAAAGAACAAAGUACUGAAAAUUCUAGCCUUUUUCAUGCAAGUGUUCAUAAAUGGAAUGAGCACUAACAACAAAUUAGAUAAUUUACUUAAUUUCAGGGUUCACAUGAUGAAUUAUCACCUAUUCAAUAUUCUAGAAGAAUUGAAAAUCAAGACGUAUGAAGUUCAUAAAAACAUUAAAUCUCAUGAUAAACAAGUUUGAAUUGAAAAAAAAUUACCAAGUCAUCAUAUUCUUCAGUCCUGUCCCGUUUUUUGCUUGGUUUCUAGCAAGAGCUGUUCUUUGUAUACUUCAAGCCAAGCACGUCU
rnacentral:lncRNA from 1 species